rnacentral:rRNA from 1 species
GACGAACGCUGGCGGCGUGCUUAACACAUGCAAGUCGAACGGAAAGGCCCUGCUUUUGUGGGGUGCUCGAGUUGCGACCGGGUGAGUAACACUUGGGUAACCUGCCCUUGCCUUUGGGAUAACUUCAUGAAACUGAAGCUAAUACCGGCUAGGAGCUCCUGCUGCAUGGUGGGGGUUGGAAGGUUUAGGCGGUUGGGAAUGGACUCGCGGCUUAUCAGCUUGUUGGUGGGGUAGUGGCUUACCAUGGCUUUGACGGGUAGCCGGCGUGAGAGGGUGACCGGCAACAGUGGGACUGAGAUACGGCCCAGACCCCUACGGGAGGCAGCAGUGGGGAAGAUUGCACAAUGGGCGGAAGCCUGAUGCAGCAACGCCGCGUGCGGGAUGACGGCCUUCGGGUUGUAAACCGCUUUCGCCUGUGACGAAGCGUGAGUGACGGUAAUGGGUAAAGAAGCACCGGCUAACUACGUG